AGUGAACGCUGGCGGUAGGCCUAACACAUGCAAGUCGAGCGGCAGCACAGUAAGAGCUUGCUCUUACGGGUGGCGAGUGGCGGAUGGGUGAGGAAUACAUCGGAAUCUACUUUUUCGUGGGGGAUAACGUAGGGAAACUUACGCUAAUACCGCAUACGACCUACGGGUGAAAGCAGGGGAUCUUCGGACCUUGCGCGAUUGAAUGAGCCGAUGUCGGAUUAGCUAGUUGGCGGGGUAAAGGCCCACCAAGGCGACGAUCCGUAGCUGGUCUGAGAGGAUGAUCAGCCACACUGGAACUGAGACACGGUCCAGACUCCUACGGGAGGCAGCAGUGGGGAAUAUUGGACAAUGGGCGCAAGCCUGAUCCAGCCAUACCGCGUGGGUGAAGAAGGCCUUCGGGUUGUAAAGCCCUUUUGUUGGGAAAGAAAAGCAGCAGGUUAAUACCCCGCUGUUCUGACGGUACCCAAAGAAUAAGCACCGGCUAACUUCGUG
rnacentral:rRNA from 1 species